CGGUCCAGACUCCUACGGGAGGCAGCAGUGGGGAAUAUUGCACAAUGGGCGCAAGCCUGAUGCAGCCAUGCCGCGUGUGUGAAGAAGGCCUUCGGGUUGUAAAGCACUUUCAGCGGGGAGGAAGGCGUUAAGGUUAAUAACCUUGGCGAUUGACGUUACCCGCAGAAGAAGCACCGGCUAACUCCGUGCCAGCAGCCGCGGUAAUACGGAGGGUGCAAGCGUUAAUCGGAAUUACUGGGCGUAAAGCGCACGCAGGCGGUCUGUCAAGUCGGAUGUGAAAUCCCCGGGCUCAACCUGGGAACUGCAUUCGAAACUGGCAGGCUAGAGUCUUGUAGAGGGGGGUAGAAUUCCAGGUGUAGCGGUGAAAUGCGUAGAGAUCUGGAGGAAUACCGGUGGCGAAGGCGGCCCCCUGGACAAA
rnacentral:rRNA from 1 species